GGGCGGUUAGCUCAAUUGGCCAGAGCAUUCGCCUUACAAGCGAGGGGUUGGGGGUUCAAGUCCCUCACCGCCCA
rnacentral:tRNA from 1 species